CUCUGAAUAAAUCAUUUAUCGUAUACACGAACUUAUUUAUAAUAUAUUCCACGGAUUAUGGAAAAAUUUUAAUAACUCGUUUACUGUAAAUCUAUUCUAUUUAAUGUAUAAACCAUUAAGUAUGAGAGUACAAAGUUUUCGAUAACGGCGUAAAUUUAUUAAACCCGUUACCUUUGUAGUAAAAAAACAAUACGUAUUACAAUAUAUACCGCAGCGCAACGUUUUCAUCGAUAUUAAUCAUUGAAUAUUCUUUUGCCUCUGUACCUUUUCAAAAAGCCAAUUGAAUUCAAAUAUCUCCAUAUUAAUUUCCAAUACAAAUGUCCUCUUCCCGCGACAACAGAAAAAUUAUUGCAUACGAAUCGUCGUGAUCCCUUCUCAAAAAAAAAAAUAAAAAAUAUUUCCAACAGAAUAAAUUUCAUAAACUAACAAAAAUUAUAAACCUUAAAAAUUUCGCAACAAUUUCCAAACGAAAACCUCUCUUCUUUCCAUCUCCUAAUAUUUAAUUCCGAUAUUUUCUUUCAUAUCCAGUCUCCAAGCGGUGGAAGGAUCGGUUUAAAAAAGAAAAGAAAAGUAACAAUAACAAUAACAAUAAUAAUAUUACGCCUUGGCUCGCGUUCUCGUGUUCCCUUCCACGAAACUUUGCAUCUCUGAUAACAAACGGUUAAUGAUAAUGUAAUAAUUAUCAUCACUCGAAGGCCGGAAAGACGAGAUGCAUCUAUCCAGAAAGGUAUACGCGCGGCCGCGCGUAAAUCUUUGGCGCGUGAACCGGAAGGCUUGUAUUAAUUAUUUUGCGGGGAAACGAUUCCCUCCCCUCCCCUCCGGUUACAAACAGGCCCUCGAUUUAUAGUGAAACGGAGUAAGAGUGUUCCUAUGUUUAGAAUCUAAUUAAUGGGCUAUAUCGCGCCACGUGAGAUAUUUGCUCGAUCGGGAUAUAUAUUCCAUUUGUAUGUGUGUAUAUAUAUAUAUGUGUGUGUGUGUGUGUUUGCGUCACUGCCAUUCGUUUCGGGGUUUACGACGCCCUCGCUCGAUCCAAAACUAUCGGUGAAAAAUUUGUAUCGUGCAUUUUUGAAAGACGUCAAAUUUUAAGUCAAAUCGAACGAAAGCCGUCUCGACGAGAUCGAUUAAUAACUCGUUGGACAAAGGAAAGAUCUGAUAAUCCGAGUGGCGCGGAGGAUGAGGCAAAUCCUCCUAUCUUGAAUAAAUAAUCCUGUGUUUUAUGAUUGAAGAGGAGAGAGAUUUUUUUAUUUGCAUAUGUGGCGUGUGCAGUGUCACGUAUAAAAUUCAACUGACUCGAAUAAUGCAGCUCGUUCGCUAUAGUUAAAUAAAUGACGAAUCUGUUGAUGAAUGGUGUUCGAUUUGUGGCGGAUCCAGAAACGAGAUUAUGCCCCUGAAUAUUUCGCUGAGUGAUCGUUCGGACGAGUGGAGCGAGUGGUCGAACGAACUUCGUUUGUCAGGACGAGGAAAAAGGAACAGGAAGAGGGAAGAGAAAGAGGAGACCGUUAAGGAAAUGGGUUUCAUGCUCCGCGAAAUUCGAAACUGGUCUCGGGAAGACAGCCAUCGAUUUCUUUCCCCUUUUUUUUCUCUUUUUAUUCGGCUAAUAGUUUUAAUGGACCUUUCUUUUUUUCUUUUCUUCUUAGGAUUAGCUGCUUUCGUUCAGGAUAGAUAUUUUUUAAUAAUGAUCACGAGGAUACAAUGUUAAAAAUACAAUGUCGGAUGAUGAAGAAUGUAUCGCCAUUUUUCUUCGUAGAAAACAAAUUUUUAUUCAUUAAAAAAAGAAAAAAAGCACCCAUUUUCAUUUUGCUCGACAUUUGUUUCCCGGAAGAAAAAAGUCAAAGUUUAUUCGUUUAUUAAUAAAUAUAAUAUUUAAUUUGUUUUUUUAUACAUCCACAUUAAAAUAUAUAUAGCAAACUGCGAUGACAAUUUUUCUCAAAUAAAACAUCGAUUUAAAACAAUAACCCGAAAACCAAUCAUCACACCUAUUAUUUCAUCGAGAAACUAUCAACAGAAUGGAAAAAAAAAAAGGAAAAAAUCA